rnacentral:rRNA from 1 species
AAAUGGCCGCAGUAUUUUAACUGUGCAAAGGUAGCAUAAUCAUUAGUCUUUUAAUUGAGGGCUUGUAUGAAUGGUUGGACGAAAUAUUAACUGUUUCAUAAAUAUUGAUAUAGAAUUUUAUUUUUUAGUUAAAAAGCUAAAAUUUUUUUAAAAGACGAGAAGACCCUAUAGAUCUUUAUAUUUUAUGUUUUGUGGUUAUUUAGAUUAUUUAAAUUAUAAAUAGAUAAAUUAUUUUGUUGGGGUGACAUUAAAAUUUGAUUAACUUUUAAUUAGUUAUUACAUUAAUUUAUGAGUAUUUGAUCCAUUAAUAGUGAUUAGAAAAUUAAGUUACCUUAGGGAUAACAGCGUAAUUUUUUUGAAGAGUUCAUAUCGAUAAAAAAGAUUGCGACCUCGAUGUUGGAUUAAG